AGACCAGACUCCUACGGGAGGCAGCAGUGGGGAAUAUUGCACAAUGGGGGAAACCCUGAUGCAGCGACGCCGCGUGAGCGAUGAAGUAUUUCGGUAUGUAAAUCUCUAUCAGCAGGGAAGAAGAUGACGGUACCUGACUAAGAAGCCCCGGCUAACUACGUGCCAGCAGCCGCGGUAAUACGUAGGGGGCAAGCGUUAUCCGGAUUCACUGGGUGUAAAGGGAGCGUAGACGGCGACGCAAGUCUGGAGUGAAAGCCCGGGGCCCAACCCCGGGACUGCUUUGGAAACUGUAUGGCUGGAGUGCAGGAGAGGUAAGUGGAAUUCCUAGUGUAGCGGUGAAAUGCGUAGAUAUUAGGAGGAACACCAGUGGCGAAGGCGGCUUACUGGACUGUAACUGACGUUGAGGCUCGAAAGCGUGGGGAGCAAACAGGAUUAGAUACCCGAGUA
rnacentral:rRNA from 1 species